AAAGGAAAAGAGGCUUUGGACCCCUUCCAGAGUGAUAUGGAUCAGAUACAAUAGGGAGAGACCUCUGGAAGAACUCAAAAAUUCAAGAGAGUCAAACAGGACAGGUGUUGUCUCCCCCAAUGCUUCCCGAAUGUUGCUGCGGAGUUCUGAAAGCGAAAGUGAACUGACAGCCCUGGGCUGAAGCCGACCACCUGUGGUGCAAGACAAUAGCCCACAAACACUGCAGCUCCUCCUGAAAUCAAAAGACGGACUUACAACUAACUUCUGCUAAGACUCCUGUUUGAAGUCCUUGCUCACCGUAAACAGACUGUUUGCCUGCGAUGUAAUGCCACUGAGAAUCCGGCAUCUCUACGUCUGCUGUUGUAUUUACAUUAUGCAUGUUCUAUGUUUGGAUAUUGUGGUUUCACUUUGCUGCCUGGAUAUAAAAACCCAUUUCACCCCAAGUAAAGCAUGCUUUGAUACAUUUACUUGGCGUCUGUCUUUUUCCACAGGUCUGGUCCAACCUCCAGUUCGAAGUUACCCACGAUCCCGAGUAGAUCCGCUGGCCGGACUCUACACCUAGUCGUCUCGCCAGCAAGAAGACACGCGGACACUAGGAUCCUUCUGCA